rnacentral:rRNA from 1 species
GACGAACGCUGGCGGCGUGCCUAAUACAUGCAAGUAGAACGCUGAAGAGAGGAGCUUGCUCUUCUUGGAUGAGUUGCGAACGGGUGAGUAACGCGUAGGUAACCUGCCUUGUAGCGGGGGAUAACUAUUGGAAACGAUAGCUAAUACCGCAUAACAAUGGAUGACACAUGUCAUUUAUUUGAAAGGGGCAAUUUCUCCACUACAAGAUGGGCCUGCGUUGUAUUAGCUAGUAGGUGAGGUAAUGGCUCACCUAGGCGACGAUACAUAGCCGACCUGAGAGGGUGAUCGGCCACGCUGGGACUGAGACACGGCCCAGACUCCUGCGGGAGGCAGCAGUAGGGAAUCUUCGGCAAUGGGGGCAACCCUGACCGAGCAACGCCGCGUGAGUGAAGAAGGUUUUCGGAUCGUAAAGCUCUGUUGUAAGUCAAGAACGGGUGUGAGAGUGGAAAGUUCACACUGUGACGGUAGCUUACCAGAAAGGGACGGCUAACUACGUG